rnacentral:lncRNA from 1 species
AUACGUAAGUUGGGGUACUAUUCACAUUGCCAAUUGGUUAUAUAUUGGGAAUGAGUCCCACAUUAAUGAGAUGAGAGAUCUUCAAUAAGUACCACAUUUGUAAUUGUAGUCAACAAUUUGUUCCCUUGUAUAAUAUAUAUUUGUCUCAUUGGUAUACCAAAAAAACAUGUGUAACUCACGAGACUCGCGGAAAGAAAAGAUCAUUUGAAAGCAUCCAAAAAGAGAGUUUUUGGCAUUUCAAAGGUCCAUCGUAUAUUAGUUAAGUGUCUGCUUAAAAAGAAAUGCAAGGAGACCAUGCUUUUAAACAAUAUUUUGUAAAUUACAUGAUGUAAUUUAAAGGUACUAUAUUUAUAUUGACUGUUGCAAUAUACAAAUGCAUAGUGGAUACUUACCGGCUAGGGAUUCAGCAAAAAACACAUGGAAGAGAGCACAUUCUUGCUUGGUUGAUGGUUGGAUUCCUAAUAAAUUUAAAGGUACUAUAUUUAUAUUGACCGUUGCAAUAUACAAACACAUAGUGGGUACUUACCAGCUAGGGAUUCAGGAAAAAACACAUGGAAGAGAGCACAUUCUUGCUUGAUAGAUAGAUUAUAUGCUUAAAUCAUAUAUAUAGAAGAAAUCCAACCAUCAACAUGUUACAUCACCUGGCUAACAAAUAUAAUUUAAGUAAAUAAUCUCCAGAUCAAGCAAGAAUGUGCCUUCUUCCAUGUGUUUUUUGCUGGAUCCCUAGCUGGUAAGUACCCACCGUGCAUUUGUAUAUUGCGUUACAUUCUUGUAGGUAUGUAGUUGUACCACGCUUUGUAUUGUCUAGUCCCUUCCCUUUAAAAGCUAUUAUAUUUAAAUAUACGAUUAGAUCUCCCUCACAUUUUGCAGUUCUUUUGUUUUAUUUGAUUAGGUAUGCAUUUAAUUAAAAUGAUACACCCCCAAGAACAUGAGAGACAAUCUCUCUUGUAAUCAAUUCAUCACGU